GAUGAACGCUGGCGGCGUGCCUAAUACAUGCAAGUCGAGCGAACAGAUGAGGAGCUUGCUCCUCUGACGUUAGCGGCGGACGGGUGAGUAACACGUGGAUAACCUACCUAUAAGACUGGGAUAACUUCGGGAAACCGGAGCUAAUACCGGAUAAUAUAUUGAACCGCAUGGUUCAAUAGUGAAAGACGGUUUUGCUGUCACUUAUAGAUGGAUCCGCGCCGCAUUAGCUAGUUGGUACGGUAACGGCUUACCAAGGCAACGAUGCGUAGCCGACCUGAGAGGGUGAUCGGCCACACUGGAACUGAGACACGGUCCAGACUCCUACGGGAGGCAGCAGUAGGGAAUCUUCCGCAAUGGGCGAAAGCCUGACGGAGCAACGCCGCGUGAGUGAUGAAGGUCUUCGGAUCGUAAAACUCUGUUAUUAGGGAAGAACAAAUGUGUAAGUAACUAUGCACGUCUUGACGGUACCUAAUCAGAAAGCCACGGCUAACUACGUG
rnacentral:rRNA from 1 species